UCAAAACAUGAUUGUCAUUUGAGGCUUAGCUACAGUUAUUCUUCAUUAGAAGAAAUGGACAAAGGACUGUCUGUAGUAGCCAAAAUAAUACGUGAAGAAGCAG